AUUGAACGCUGGCGGCAGGCCUAACACAUGCAAGUCGAGCGGAUGAAGGGAGCUUGCUCCUGGAUUCAGCGGCGGACGGGUGAGUAAUGCCUAGGAAUCUGCCUGGUAGUGGGGGAUAACGUCCGGAAACGGGCGCUAAUACCGCAUACGUCCUGAGGGAGAAAGUGGGGGAUCUUCGGACCUCACGCUAUCAGAUGAGCCUAGGGCGGAUUAGCUAGUUGGUGGGGUAAAGGCCUACCAAGGCGACGAUCCGUAACUGGUCUGAGAGGGUGAUCAGUCCACACUGAAACGAAAACAGGGCCCGACCCCUCUCGGAGGGAACAAGGGGGAAAUUUGGAACAGUGGGGGAAACCCUGACCCACCCAUCCCCGUUGGGUGAAGAAGGUUUUCGGUUUUAAAACCACUUUGAUUUGAAAGAAAGGCAAAAAAGUUAACACCUGCUUUUUUGAGGGUACCCAACGAAUAAAGCCCCGCUAAACUGGGG
rnacentral:rRNA from 1 species